AUGUUUUUUUUUUUUUCUUCCUGGUGUAACAAGGAAAGCUUUCUCUCUCCUCUUUUUUUUCUCUCUCCUCUUUUUUUCUCUCUCCUCUUUUUUUUCUCUCUCCUCUUUUUUUUCUCUCUCCUCUUUUUUUUUCUCUCUCCUCUUUUUUUCUCUCUCCUCUUUCUUUCUCUCUUCUCUUUUUUUCUCUUUUAUUUCUCUUUUUUCUCUUCACAUAAUAAAUUUACAAAUUGUUUAGUCACUGUGAUCAUGUCUGUAACUGUGUGCUGUGCUGCUAAAGAUCAAAUAUCAUACAGACAUUUAGAGGGACAAGAACUUUCUAUGUUAACACUAUUAUUGUUUCUGUAAUAAAGUUCUGUCUGAAGUAUGAAGUAGAUAGGUAGUGCUAUUGCAAUUUUAUUUCUGCAGGUUCUCAACAAACCCUGUUGUACAUAAUAAGAACUUAGCUGCAUGUUCACGUUAGCUUUCCACAGAUAAUGUCACAGAUAAGGUAGGACGGAUGGCAUGACAAAACAUCUAGAAGUAGCUACGUCUGCUCCCUCACCUGAGAAGGAGAAGCUGUAUGGGCACUGUUUUCAGAACUGUCUUCUGUCUACAGAAUUGUCUCCUUUACCCCUUUCACAUACUGAAUAUUUUAUAGAACAACCUCACAUAACAUAAAAGUUUGUUUCUUUGUUUUUAAAUAUCAUAGGCAUGACUACUUUUGAAAGACUUCGGUCUUGGCCAUUGAGAACAAUAAUAUUGUCCUUCUUCAUUUUCCAACGUAGCCAGCUGAAUUAAUCCCAGGGACAAGGUUUAAGACCAGCCAUUUAGAGUUUGUACUGUUUGUUUUCCCCGAGGUAUAAAAGAUAGGGAUCAGUCCUGGAAAGAGGCAAACCCUUUUUGUUUUUACAAUAUCAAGUGCAUUUUAAUUCCAGGACAGCACAGAAAAUAUUUCAAGGAGCUAUAAAACUUAGGUAGAUAUAGGAAAAACAAAAACAAAACAAAAAAAAGAAACCACUGUUGCAUUCUUAAUGGAAUACAAAGAAAAUAUAAUCUUACACCAGAAAAAAUAAUUCCUAUUUCCACUUUGUACCAUCAGAACAUUUUAUUUAAAUUAUAGCUUUCAAGCCCCUGAUAUUGUAUUUUUCUAAGAAAUAUGUAUAACGCUUUCUUCUUUUAAAUGCACUGUAUAUAUUAAAGCAAGGAAUCAAAUGAGUCUGUAACUAGCUGAGUGAAAGACAUCAUUCUAAUUUUAUUUUUAUUUUUUUAUGAAUUUUGAAUCAUUAUCUUAUUCACCCUUAAAAUAGUUCUUGCAAUGAAGAAUAAAACUGGACAAUGUAAGAAAUAUGAUUUCA
rnacentral:lncRNA from 1 species